rnacentral:rRNA from 1 species
AAUGGGUCAGCGACUUAUAUUCUGUAGCAAGGUUAACCGAAUAGGGGAGCCGAAGGGAAACCGAGUCUUAACUGGGCGUUAAGUUGCAGGGUAUAGACCCGAAACCCGGUGAUCUAGCCAUGGGCAGGUUGAAGGUUGGGUAACACUAACUGGAGGACCGAACCGACUAAUGUUGAAAAAUUAGCGGAUGACUUGUGGCUGGGGGUGAAAGGCCAAUCAAACCGGGAGAUAGCUGGUUCUCCCCGAAAGCUAUUUAGGUAGCGCCUCGUGAAUUCAUCUCCGGGGGUAGAGCACUGUUUCGGCAAGGGGGUCAUCCCGACUUACCAACCCGAUGCAAACUGCGAAUACCGGAGAAUGUUAUCACGGGAGACACACGGCGGGUGCUAACGUCCGUCGUGAAGAGGGAAACAACCCAGACCGCCAGCUAAGGUCCCAAAGUCAUGGUUAAGUGGGAAACGAUGUGGGAAGGCCCAGACAGCCAGGAUGUUGGCUUAGAAGCAGCCAUCAUUUAAAGAAAGCGUAAUAGCUCACUGGUCGAGUCGGCCUGCGCGGAAGAUGUAACGGGGCUAAACCAUGCACCGAAGCUGCGGCAGCGACACUAUGUGUUGUUGGGUAGGGGAGCGUUCUGUAAGCCUGUGAAGGUGUGCUGUGAGGCAUGCUGGAGGUAUCAGAAGUGCGAAUGCUGACAUAAGUAACGAUAAAGCGGGUGAAAAGCCCGCUCGCCGGAAGACCAAGGGUUCCUGUCCAACGUUAAUCGGGGCAGGGUGAGUCGACCCCUAAGGCGAGGCCGAAAGGCGUAGUCGAUGGGAAACAGGUUAAUAUUCCUGUACUUGGUGUUACUGCGAAGGGGGGACGGAGAAGGCUAUGUUGGCCGGGCGACGGUUGUC